UGAUAAGAAGGUUCCCCACUGCGACCACCAGAAAGCAUAUAUAAACGACUAGCACGCAUUACUUUCAGUGUAACAUUGUUAUUGUGCUUUGCGACGGAGGACCCCAAGAAACUUCGACUCCGACUGUAUCAUCAAUCAAUCAUCAAUAAGAUUCGAAAAAAACGACUAGCUCUGUUGGAUCUCUUAAUACAAGCAUCUCAGGAAGGACUUUUAACUGAUAUCGUUAUUAACGAGGAAGUUAAUACUUUUACAUUUGGAUCAUGAUAUUACAUCAUCGGAUAUAUGCUUUACUCUGUUAUUAUUGGCCGAACACAAAGAUGUCCAGGAUUGUGUUCGAAAAGAAGUCGAUGGUAUUAUAAAAGAAAAUCAAGAGAAACUUACGACCAAAUUGCAGGAAAAUCUGCAAUGUUUAGAGAGAUGUAUAAAAAAAGCGUUGCGUUUAUAUCCCAGUGUUUAUUUCAUAUCACAAAUUACUUCGAAAGAUGCACAAUUAAGUAGUAAUAUUUUUUGUGUCGUGAUAAUUUUGAUUUUUGUACUUGCCAAGUACAAAGAUCAAAAUUAUCACGACACAAAAAAUAAAUAUGUAAAUAUUGUCUUGGCAAACUUAUAUGGAUUUUGUUGCGAUUGGAAUAAAUUUCAAACGAUGCGGACGAAGUAUUAAAUUAGUAGGUCCUUUAAAUAAUUCACGGGCUCCAAAUAGAAAUUGUGAAUUAGGCAGGCUAUUAUCGCUUUCAUUUUCAGCAAAGCAAAUCGUCGAGCUACAAUUCGAUAUGUAUCACAAUUAUUCAUAUAAAAAGAUACCAAUAAAUAUUUUACCUAUGCAGCUACGUGAUCCAGCACUAAAUCGUAAAUACGAAUAACGGUGACGAUAUUUGAUCUCUUCAGAUAAAAAUCUAUCUGGAUCAAAUAACUCUAGAUUUGGCAAAAAAUUAGAAUCUCUGUGUACUCCAAAGAUUUUUAUCUGACAAGAUCCGAAAUCGUCAUCAUUAUUUUAUUUACUUAAUAGUGCUGGACCACGUAACAAUCAUUAUAUAAGCUUAUUUAAGUUUGUGUCUUUAUAAAAUGUUUUUUAAAGUCAUAUUUAAUAUUGGUUGGAACAUUAUUGCAUCUUAAUAUCUUUGAAGUAAAUAGAGAUCCUAAUUUUUGGCCAAAUCCAAAGUAUUUGACACAGAUAGAUUUUUACCUGACCACGAGAUCCAAAAUUGUCAUCAUUAUUCGCAUUUACCUAUUAGUGCUGAACAACGAAACUGCAUAGAUAAAAUAUUUAUUGAUAUCUUUUUAUAUAAACACAAUUGUAAUACAUAUCAAAUUGUAGGUCGACGAUUUGCUAUGCUGGAAAUGAGGCAAUAAUAGCCUGUCUAAUUCACAAUUUUUAUUUGAAACCGGUAGAUUUAUUAAAGGACCUACGAAUUGGAACUAAUCUAAUACUUCAUUCUCUUACUCCGCAUCGUUUGAAAUUUAUUCCAAUCGCAACAAAAUCCAUAUAAGUAUGCGAAGACAAUAUUUACAUGUUUAUUUUUUAUGUCGUGAUAAUUUUGAUCUUUGUACUUGGCAAGUAUAAAGAUCAAAAUUAUCACGACACAAAAAAUAAAUAUGUAACUAUUGUCUUCGCAUACUUAUAAGGAUUUUGUGGCUAUUAGUAUAAAUUUUAAACAAUGCGGAGUAAGAGAACGAAGUAUUAGAUUAGUUCCAAUUCGUAGGUCUUCUAAUAAAUUUACAGGUUUCACAUAGAAAUUAUGAAUUAGACAGGCUAUUAUUGUCUCAUUUCCAGCAUAGCAAAUUGUCGACCUACAAUUUGACAUGUAUUACAAUUGUGUUCAUAUAAAAAGAUAUCAAUAAAUAUUUUACCUAUGCAGUUUCGCUGUCCAGCACUAAUAGGUAAAUGCGAAUAAUGAUGACAAUUUUGGAUCUCGUGGUCAGGUAAAAAUCUGUCUGGGUCAAAUAUUUCUGGAUUUGGUCAAAAAUUAGGAUCUCUAUGUACUCCAAAGAUAUUAAUGUGCAAUAAUGUUCCAACCAAUAUUAAAUAUGACUUUAAAAAACAUUUUAUAAAGACACAAACUUAAAUAAGCUUAUAUAAUGAUUUUAGGAUUGGUACUUGCAAUAUAAAGAUCAAAAUUAUCACGACAUAAAAAAUAAAUAUGUAAAUAUUGUCUUUGCAUACUUAUAUGAAUUUUAUUGCGAUCUUUGUACUGCAAGUACUUGUAUGGCAAGUUUUAUAUAAUAGUCCGAAACGUAUACGUGCGUCGUUGAAUGCAAACAACAUUGCGUAUACGGACAAUUUACGCGUUAUUUAUUACAAGUUAAGUAAAACGUUAGAAGACGUACAAUAUAUAUCAAAAUAGAAAUUAGAUAACAAGACAUAUCUAUUUAUUAAUAGUAUAUUUGUUCUUGUUAACAAUUUUGCUUGUUUUUAUAUUUUUUGUUAAUACUAUUUUUGUUUUACUUAACUUGGUCUUAGGUACUAACGAGUUCGCGCAUAUUGAAAACGCCUUUAUGUCGGGAAAUUAAUGUAAUGUCCGUUAUGAGCCGAAAUAUAUUUGUUACUUCUAUUACUAA